rfam:Zea mays cultivar B73 chromosome 3, whole genome shotgun sequence.
AUUUCUAGGUCUUUUGACUAAAAUAAAUUGUAAUAUUUAUUCUUAUCAGUUUAAUACUUGGUAUAUAGACAAUAUAUUCACUUUGAUAUUAAAAUUAUUUAUUAUGAAUACUUUUAGUGAGGAGGAUCUACCACAUUAGCUUAUUCGACCCUCUCGUGUCGCUCAACCACUAUACUGGUAAGAUCUAUU